GUACACGCUGUGACUAGCAUAUCAAUAAGCGGAGAAAAAGAAACUAACGAGGAUUCCCCUAGUAACGGCGAGUGAAGCGGGAAGAGCUCAAAUUUGAAAUCUUAAAGGGUUUCCCUUUACGAAUUGUAGUUUAAAGAAGUGUUUUCUGUUGAGGUUUUGGUAAAAGUUCUUUGGAAUAGGGCAUCAUAGAGGGUGAGAAUCCCGUAUUUGACCUUUACUUUCAACUUUGUGAUACACUUUCAAAGAGUCGGAUUGUUUGGGAAUGCAGUCCAAAAUGGGUGGUAAAUUUCAUCUAAAGCUAAAUAUUGGCGAGAGACCGAUAGCGAACAAGUACCGUGAGGGAAAGAUGAAAAGAACUUUGAAAAGAGAGUUAAACAGUACGUGAAAUUGUCAAAAGGGAAGCGUUUGACACCAGUGUUGUUUUUCUGAAAAUCAAUUAAAGAACUGUUUAUGCUAAGCUGUUUAGACUUUAUCAGCUAUCUGUUUAGUUUUGAGCUUUUCUUUAAUGCACUUUUCAGUUAACAAGUCAACAUCAAUUUCUUUUUGCUGUAAAAAAGCUUGAGGAAGGUGGCUUGAGAUUCGUCUUAAGUGUUUAUAGCCUCUUGCCUAUGCAGUCGGAGAGAUUGAGGUCUGCAGCGUAGAUCCUUCGGGGCUAAAUGCAUUUGUGCUAAGUUAUAGCAUUCUAUAGACAACUUGUUGACUAUGAUUUGUCUUGUAGCUUACUCGCUUAUGUUAUUUUACCUACGCUUAGGAUGUUGAAGAUGUAGCACAUCAU
rnacentral:rRNA from 1 species